rnacentral:pre_miRNA from 1 species
GGUGUACCGGUGGGGUCCCUCAGCCUGGCCUGCGCCUUCUCACAAUCUGGGCCCCCUCAGGGGGUGUUGGAGAGCUGGUUUCAGCCCCAUCCCUGCAGGCCAGGCUGAGGGACCCCACCAGUGCAUG